GGUGGGCACUCUAAGGGAGACUGGCCGGUGACAACCGGAGGAAGGUGGGAGUGACGUCAAGUCAUCAUGGCCCUUACGGCCUGGGCUACACACGUGCUACAAUGGUCGGUACAAAGGGUUGCCAAGCCGCGAGGUGGAGCUAAUCCCAUAAAACCGAUCGUAGUCCGGAUCGCAGUCUGCAACUCGACUGCGUGAAGUCGGAAUCGCUAGUAAUCGUGAAUCAGAAUGUCACGGUGAAUACGUUCCCGGGCCUU
rnacentral:rRNA from 1 species